UCGUCCUGAAAACGAAGCGAAACUAACAUCAGAAGAUAAGAUUUCGAAUCGUUUAUCAGGAUGAUG
rfam:Caenorhabditis remanei strain PB4641 contig20.33, whole genome shotgun sequence.